UAUGCAGAGCUAUGUUUUUCCUGUAUUGGUAUUUCAUUUCUAUAUACUUGUUCUCUAAAGACCACUGAAUAAAUCCGGAAUACCAAAGGUCAAUGUGUAAUUUAUAAACAUAUUCAUAGGUAUAGAAAUGUAUUCAUGCACCAUAGGCACUCAAGUCAGAAAUAGGGUGUGUGUGUGUGUGUGUGUGUUGGUGGGUGGGUUGGCAGGCUGAGCACUCACCAUUAGUCACCCAGAAGUGUGACUACGACUGAGCACAGUGUGGUUAUUUUGUGAUACUGUGACGAUGGCGAGCUCACGACAACACUGCAGAGCACAGAGUCGCUUCUCUUUGGUCGAGGAAGCUCUACAGCAGGAGGGCAACAAGGGUCUUCGCCGAAAAAGUCAAGGAGCACGGCAGCCAAAUGAAGAGUGGGCUCCGUCCAUUGGCAGGUACUGUGGUGAUCUGUGCUGGUUAGGAAUGCAGGGGCAGGAAAGGGAUUUCAGGAAUCGUGCAUGAGAGCAUCUGUAAGACCUUCAGUUUCAGUUCAUGUCGAUCUGCUGUCAUCACAUGUGCACUUGCUGAAUUUCUGCGCUCGGAGAGGAUGUGCGGUGUGACUGGAGUGCAUUUGUCCCCUUUACUUUCAUUUUUAGAAAGCUCCAGGGUCUAUGUUUACUAUAACUACAUUUUAGUAACUUUUUUUACUUUUAAUGUUAGGCCUGUUAUUCCUAGAUUUCCUGAACUACACUAAAAUACAUUAAACUAAAGAGGAAAGGAGACAGAGGAUGGCCAGGCACAGAGGUUUCUUUAUUUAUGCCUUCACCCCCAUAUGAAUUAAUAACCAUCUCGCUGUUUCUCUCUCUCUCUCUGUGUGUUUCCAUGUCGACCCUUCGCAGGGUCUGUUGAAGGCCCUCCUCUUAGUGUAUUUGACAGGCUGUGCUGGACACUCGAUAUGAGAGGGUGUCAGUUUGUCAAAUACCCCAAGAGAGGGGUCACUGUUCAUCCUGCAAGCUGCGCAACAUCAGCAAGAGAUGACUGCUCCACCCACACCAAUUUUCUCUGAGCAACUAAAAAUAAUGCAUUGUGAAAUAAUAACUUGAACAUUUUCAAUAUAUUUUAAGGGUUUUUUUUUUUUAAAGAUAAUGAACUGAAUAAAUGAAACAUGCACACUGAUUGUUAAAAGAUA
ensembl:lncRNA